rnacentral:lncRNA from 1 species
AUUCGGGUCGGGUGGACGAUUCCGUCCCGGUGCAGCCAGCCUGCCCCAUUCAUGAAGUUCAUUUCGAUGGGCAGAAUUUUCUUUUUCAGACUUUUAAAAAAUAGGCACGCAUGGAUCAUUAUUAGGAUCUAAUGCAGGGUGUUUGGGAGAGCGCAUCGAUGUGGGGAAACGUGCGCGUUAAAUUGAUCAGAAAAACAAAAUGUUUCAUGUCAAGGUAUUUUGAGAUUUGCCUCUCGGGCCGACUUCCUAAGAGGGUGAGUCAUCGGAUAAAGGGGAGAUGCCUUUGACUGGAGCGUCCGCGUCAAUUUUGUUGUCAUUGUCACCUCUUUCCCGAGCCUUCUGCGCUCUCAAGCCCCCAGAGUGAACACGCUUCAGCUGUUGCAGCUGCCCUUUCCAGACCUAAUAUUUGUAAUCAAUGUGUGCUUUUGACUUGAGUGGCAACAGUGAGGGAUGAGAAGGGGGGAGGGGAGGAAGAGACUGGCUCUAACUCAUUCCCCGAGUACGCUCAGUGUAGACGGACAGAAAGAACUCGGUCUUCACUCUAGGGACCCAACUUUUCCUUUCGCCCCGCCCGGAGCCCUACUUACUCCGGCUCCCGGCGUUUCUCCCACAGUCAAGGAAACCAGCCCUCGGUCUGCACCGACCCCAACCCCGGCCUCUGGUCGGGACUCCACGGCGACCUUCCCCGGCUCGCGGGUCUCCAGGCCACGCUCUGCGCAAUGGGCACCCCGGGGCGGAGGGCACGCGGCUCCGAGGCGCCCCAGCGAGAGGGGCGGGGCGAGCGGGGGCGGGGCCUGGAGGGACCAAUCAGCGGGCGAGGCUGUGGCCGAGCCGCGAUUGGUCCGCCCCGCGGGUUCCAACCUGCACCGCCCGCUCGGUCCUUUGAGCCACUGCAUCCCCUAGCGGCGCCCGGGUGGCUGCAGCCGCUGGCCCGAAAAUGCUGCUCGGGCGAGCAGGGGUCAGGCGGGAAAAGAAGACUCCAAAUCCACUCUCUGCUCGCCCCCAGGGCAAUGCUGCCAGGAGAGGGAGUGGGUUCCCCCGCAGGCUAUCCCACCGAUGGGGCUGAGAGCUUAAUUUGGGGUUUUAUUUGAAUUGGAGACAUUGUUCCCUCUUCGCUCCUCUACCCCAUAAAAUUCCCUACAAAUGCAAAAAUUCGAGAUAGAAGAAGCCGUCCCUGAAAGUAAGUUCUGAAGGAUUCCUUUCAUGCGGUGAAGGAACAACAACAAUAUUCAACUUCACCUUGGUGUGUGAGGGUCGUCGUGUUUUAAAACACUAUCCCUGUAGAAAGAUUAGUGAAAUGUAUUGGAAGAAGUAGUGGAAACGUGAAUCUUCCUGGUCUCGCGUUUGGAUCUUCUUUGGAGUCCUCACCUUCUUAAAUCUGAUGUUUGUUUGAAAUCAGGGCUGAAUUUCCAUAUAUAGGACAGAAAGAAAGAACCCCAAUUUUUUAAAGAAAGCUCCCCCCCCCCCCGCCACGUUUCUCCUGAGCCCACUUGGUCUCCCGUUAUUAGGCGGCCCAGUUAAGAGGCAUCGAUUUUCCUUUCAUUCUCUGACCACUCGUCUCUCCUGGGCCAGCCAGGCUGCCCGCAUCUUCUCCUGCUCACAGCGCUCUCUAAACCUUUUAAUUAUUUAGUUGCUGUCUAACAUUCACCGGAAACCUCUCCAUAAACAAGGAGAAACGAAUGCACACGCAUUUUUGCUAAGAAGCCCGGGAUUAAGAUUUAAGGAUACAAGCUGAAAGAAAAAAUGAAAAAUGCUUCUCCGCGCGUCAAUCGAGGGGUGGAUGCGCCACGCAGCGUGAGCCCAGCUCACAGCCACGCGUAAGACCAAAAGCUGCCAUGGGUUCUGCGCGCGGAGACCUCAGAGCCGAAGAGAGAAGUCCCCGCGUCAGAAACGCUGCGGAUGCCAGGUCUUGAAAAUGCUGACUUCUGAGGCUAAGAAUUAUUUCAAAGACAAAAAGAAAAGACUGGUGAGGAGGCCUUCCGGUGCAAGGGCGCCUAUCCGCUAAUUUUGGAUGGGGAAGUAGGGAUUAUUCGUUUAAAUUCAAUCGCGAGCACCAAGUCGGACUGGCCGGGGAUGGAGAAGGGCAACCCCCACCUUUAGAAAAAUAAAAGAUCUCGAAGGCCCUUCUUGGUCUGGGUGGUUUGAGGCUGGCAGAGAGGGGUGGGGGGCCUGGGGCUGGAUGUCCCGGGUAAUGGAGCCAGCCGGUAGGGGGUAUUUAGCAUUUAAUUCCCAGCCGGCCCGCCCCAGUUCCCGGACUGACAGUGGGUAAUUGGGAGAGAGGACGUUGCUCUUUU